GGGGGCGACAGGCUUCGACAGGGGCUUGUUUAGAUCUUUGGAUGCACGUCGGGCUUUUUGCUUGUGAGCUCGUUAAAAAAACUUGCAAAACACAAAUGCUAAUCAAGAAUUAGCUCUUGCUGCCUAGUUUAAUUACUAGCCACAAGUGUCUUACCGGAAGUCAGCUUGUAGCGACCGGCCGAGGCAUAACCCAGUAGAAGCUAGGGCUCGUCCACCGCCUGCGGACGCGUUCCGAAAUAUUAGCCGGGCUGGCUUUUGACAAGGUCUUGCCGGUUCACUUACUUGUCAAAAGCGAGAUCGAAGAGAACCAGCUAAACGUGUAGAGUCUACUGGUCGCAACCUUUGGAUGCGGGUUCGAUUCCCGCCGCCUCCACCA
rnacentral:tmRNA from 1 species